UUGGGAGGGUAUUCCCCCUGGUAUGUUUAUGCAUAGCAGAGAUCAUUAGUCCAGAAUGGUCACCCAUUGUCAGAGGAGAGGUGAUAAUGGCCUACUUACCAUAUUGACUUCUGAUACCAUGUCUAUGCUGGCUAUGUCUAUAUUCAUUCCCACUCCAACCGGAGGACCUGAGACAGAUCAAAACAACGGAGGGUUCCGUGCGAUAAAUGCAUCCCUGCACCAACAGUUGCUCACGCAUCGAUCUCCACGCAUUCGGGCCUCUGAGGAAAACGAGAAGCGUGGCUUAAUACUCCGUGAGGCGCGGUGCCAGUACCUCGGGUUGGAAGCGGGAUGAAUGGAGCAGAGCAGUAUGCACCGAAGCCUACACUCAGCGGUUCUUUCGCAGCCAUGGACGCUUGUGGCUCCACGCACUGGUAAGCAGGAUGUGCGCCACUGUGUAAACUCGGACACGAAUCGUCAUGGAUAUGGUGGGAUCAGAGGCGGAUGCUAGAGCAGUGAGCCCUGUGCAGGAGUCCUACAGCAGCUUUACUGCCUGAGAGAGGAGGGGAACAGAAGUGGUCCUACCAGGAAGAUGCUAAAUGUACUGUACUGUAAAAACACAAGUAAAAAUGAUGAUUGCCCAUAAUAUGACCCUAGUCAUGUUGAGAUUUUAUUGAUUUGUUCACAUUAAAUAUUGGAAUCCAUUUUAUUACUGAAAAUAAUGUCAAAUUCUGCACCCUAUUUGACCUGAUGGGGGUGCUGUAAAAUGUGAAGAAUUUAAAAGUCAAAUUAAAUGCACUUUGAAUUGAGUAAUAAUCAAUGUUUUAUUUCCAGUCCCAUUGCACACAUUGGUAAUGUAUCCACAGGGGGUUGAUAUGAAAAUGUUGAGAGACAAAGAUGAGUUUGGCAGCUGCAUUUUUGGCUUUUGAUUCACUUUAUAAGCCCCCAGACUUCAAAAAUUCAAUUAAAAUGUAUGUAAAAUAUA